rnacentral:rRNA from 1 species
UACAGAGGAUGCAAGCGUUAUCCGGAAUGAUUGGGCGUGAAGCGUCUGUAGGUGGCUUUUUAAGUCCGCCGUCAAAUCCCAGGGCUCAACUCUGGACAGGCGGUGGAAACUACCAAGCUGGAGUACGGUAGGGGCAGAGGGAAUUUCCGGUGGAGCGGUGAAAUGCGUAGAGAUCGGAAAGAACACCCGUGGCGAAGGCGGCACUCUGGGACGGUACUGACGCUGAGACGCGAAAGCGUGGGGAGCGAACAGG